AUUAAAUUUGGAACAAAAGUCAAUACUUUAUUGUUUACUGAUAUUUUUAUUUAUAAUAAGAAUUUAAUUUCAUGAAUUCUUGAAAAUCGAGAAUAGUUUGUUAGAUAUAUAGAAGAAGGCAUCUUGGCAACAAGCAGAAUACAUAAAAAUGCGAAGGACUACCAUAAAAACUUCUAUACGGUGGAUUACUAUGCGCUACCUUGAAAAUUAUUGUACAAGCGGAACCCCUUCAAAACAGAAAUGACCAAUGUAACAAAUGUUUUAGUUCAAGCACUGUUGCUAUAAAUUGGACUUAUCAUCCAUUAAACAAGUGUCUUUUAUAGUUUUGGCUAAUAAAUUUUAAAUGUUGUUCUUCAAGUUCAAUUCAGUA